AUCCAGCUGACGAGCCUCAAAUAGGGCGAAACACGCGUCCUGGGU
rnacentral:hammerhead_ribozyme from 1 species